UACGUAGGGCGCAAGCGUUAUCCGGAAUCAUUGGGCGUAAAGAGCGUGUAGGCGGCCACUUAAGUCUUGCGUGAAAUCUUGCGGCUCAACCGCAAGCGGUCGUGGGAAACUGGGUGGCUAGAGUGCGGGAGAGGAGAGUGGAAUUCCUGGUGUAGCGGUGGAAUGCGCAGAUAUCAGGAAGAACACCCGUGGCGAAGGCGGCUCUCUGGAACGCAACUGACGCUGAGACGCGAAAGCGUGGGGAGCAAACAGG
rnacentral:rRNA from 1 species